rnacentral:rRNA from 1 species
GCCGCUGGCGACNUCGCGAGAAGUCCACUGAACCUUAUCAUUUAGAGGAAGGAGAAGUCGUAACAAGGNUUUCCGUAGGUGAACCUGCGGAAGGAUCAUUGUCGAU